rnacentral:rRNA from 1 species
GACGAACCGUGCGAACGUUGUUCGGAUUCACUGGGCUUAAAGGGCGCGUAGGCGGGCUGGCAAGUCAGGGGUGAAAUCCUCCGGCUCAACCGGAGAACAGCCUUUGAUACUGCCAGUCUAGAGGAAGGUAGGGGCAUGUGGAACUUCCGGUGGAGCGGUGAAAUGCGUAGAUAUUCGGAAGAACACCAGUGGCGAAGGCGGCUCACUGGACUGGUAUUGACGCUGAGGUGCGAAAGCGUGGGGAGCAAACAGG